AUUAAAUUAUAAAAAUCUAUACUCCUGCUUUAAAAUUGAGGAUAACUCAUGAAUUUAUACCCUUUAGAACACUCAAAACCCUGAUAUAACUCAAACCUCGAAAAACCAAGAAAUUGAACACUGAAGCUAUAAUAAAUGAAAUAGAGAAACAACAAUACUGAAAAUUUGAAUAACAUAAGAUACAGAGAGGAGGAAAAAGUAGUGAUUUACGGGAGAAAUGGAGAAAGCAAUCGCAAUCCAACCUGGUGAUGAGGUAAUGACCCGCCUGCUCUUAGUGUGCUCACUAAAGCAUAAGCCACAAAAUAAUUCCUUGAGAAACAAGCUUCAUAAUGAAAACAAAAAGAAAAAUAGGGGAAGAAGGCCAGCUGAUAUAAUCAAUCAUGCAUCAAGUUUUAGGGGCAAAUGCAGCUAGAG
rnacentral:misc_RNA from 1 species